AUUGAACGCUGGCGGCAGGCCUAACACAUGCAAGUCGAGCGGUAGCACAGAGAGCUUGCUCUCGGGUGACGAGCGGCGGACGGGUGAGUAAUGUCUGGGAAACUGCCUGAUGGAUGGGGAUAACUACUGGAAACGGUAGCUAAUACCGCAUAAUGUCACAAGACCAAAGAGGGGGACCUUCGGGCCUCUUGCCAUCGGAUGUGCCCAGAUGGGAUUAGCUAGUAGGUGGGGUAACGGCUCACCUAGGCGACGAUCCCUAGCUGGUCUGAGAGGAUGACCAGCCACACUGGAACUGAGACACGGUCCAGACUCCGACGGGAGGCAGCAGUGGGGAAUAUUGCACAAGGGGCGCAAGCCUGAUGCAGCCAUGCCGCGUGUAUGAAGAAGGCCUUCGGGUUGUAAAGUACUUUCAGCGGGGAGGAAGGUGCUGAGGUUAAUAACCUCAGCAAUUGACGUUACCCGCAGAAGAAGCACCGGCUAACUCCGUGCCAGCCGCCGCCGUAA
rnacentral:rRNA from 1 species